UUGUGAUGGUAUAAGGAGGAACACAGGCACGUGAUGGUAAAUAUAAUGAAACAGAGAGUCUGUUCAACAAAGACACAAGAUCCUGAAUACGAAAAAUCCAAGCAAUGGUUAUAUUGAGAGUUUAUUUUGGAGUACCCAAUGCUUAAGUUCUUCCUUUCAAUUAUUUUUCAAACCGUUUUCAAUUUUAACAUGUUAUGCUCUAACUAUAAUAUG
rnacentral:lncRNA from 1 species